CAAAAAUUGACAAUCCCACACUAUGUGCUUUGAAUCAGCCGAGAUUUUUGAUGGCAACCACACAAAAAUGUAUCAAAAGUAUGGAGUUCGGGAAUUUACCAACUAGUUUUAGCGUUACACUGAGCCAUCCAAAGCCUCUCGGGGAAAGUCUAAUCAAAACCUGCAUUCCGCUCCUGACAUCCUGAUGAUGUUAUGCCACCCAAAAAGUAAAAAGAAAAGCAGAGAACCCGUCUUGGGUCAAACUGUC